CUCUUCAGGUCAUCAUUCAGCAUCAAGCUUUACCUUGUUUGCUGAAUUUAUUGAAUACCAAUCAUAAGAAGAGCAUCAAGAAAGAAGCAUGCUGGACGAUAUCGAAUAUCACAGCGGGAAACAAGGACCAGAUUCAGGCUGUCAUUGAGGCUAAUAUAAUUGGCCCCCUUGUUAAUCUGCUUCAAAAUGCUGAGUUUGAUAUUAAAAAGGAGGCUGCUUGGGCAAUCUCCAAUGCUACAUCUGGUGGUUCUCAUGAGCAAAUCAAGUUUUUAGUGAGUCAAGGG